rnacentral:rRNA from 1 species
AGCGAACGCUGGCGGCAGGCCUAACACAUGCAAGUCGAACGAAGUCUUCGGACUUAGUGGCGGACGGGUGAGUAACACGUGGGAACGUGCCUUUAGGUUCGGAAUAACUCAGGGAAACUUGUGCUAAUACCGAACGUGCCCUUAGGGGGAAAGAUUUAUCGCCUUUUGCGCGGGCCGCGUCUGAUUAGCUAGUGUGUGAGGUAAAGUCUAACCAAGGCGACGAUCAGUAGCUGGUCUGAGAGGAUGAUCAGCCACAUUGGGACUGAGACACGGCCCAAACUCCUACGGGAGGCAGCAGUGGGGAAUCUUGCGCAAUGGGCGAAAGCCUGACGCAGCCAUGCCGCGUGAAUGAUGAAGGUCUUAGGAUUGUAAAAUUCUUUCACCGGGGACGAUAAUGACGGUACCCGGAGAAGAAGCCCCGGCUAAAUUCGUGCCAGCCGCCGCGGUAAAAC